rnacentral:rRNA from 1 species
AGUCCACGCCGUAAACUAUGAUUACUCGUUGUCGGCGAUACACAGUCGGUGGCUAAGCGAAAGCGAUAAGUAAUCCACCUGGGGAGUACGAUCGCAAGGUUGAAACUCAAAGGAAUUGACGGGGGCCCGCACAAGCGGAGGAGCAUGUGGUUUAAUUCGAUGAUACGCGAGGAACCUUACCUGGGCUUAAAUGCAUAAUGACGUACUGGGAAACUGGUAUUUCUUCGGACAUUUUGCAAGGUGCUGCAUGGUUGUCGUCAGCUCGUGCCGUGAGGUGUCGGGUUAAGUCCCAUAACGAGCGCAACCCCUAUUGUUAGUUGCCAUCAGAUAAUGCUGGGGACUCUAACAAAACUGCCCGCGUAAGCGUGGAGGAAGGUGGGGAUGACGUCAAAUCAGCACGGCCCUUACGUCCAGGGCUACACACGUGCUACAAUGGCCGAUACAGAGGGCAGCCACUUGGUGACAAGGAGCAAAUCUCAAAAGUCGGUCUCAGUUCGGAUCGGAGUCUGCAACUCGACUCCGUGAAGUUGGAUCCGCUAGUAAUCGUAGAUCAGCAACGCUACGGUGAAUACGUUCCCGGGCCUUGUACACACCGCCCGU